rnacentral:lncRNA from 1 species
AUCAGAAUUCAAGACCCCCUUCCCGUAACGUCCUAGUCAGGGCCCUUAGUCCCAGCUUUUCUAGAGCCCCUCACCCUGGGAAUGCUCCUGUUUCUCAGCUAAAUUCCUCCGCUGGAGUGACCCACCCUGUUGCUCUCUCACAGGCACCCGCAUGAGGGGCUGGCUCCUCCCCGUGAAUUCUGGGCACAGACACCCAGACCUGAGCAGGCCCCUCACCCCACAGCGACUGGGGAGCCGGAGCCCGAGUCCCUCCCACCUGCUCCCUCGGUUUCUGAGGGUCUGUCUCAUCCUGCAGCUGGACAGACGUGAUCUUCAGCCCCAAGUUACAGACGCUUAGAGAAGCUGGAGACUUGCACAAUGUCUCAGAGGAAAGAGAGCCAGAACCUGGACCCGUGUUGUACCCCAACCAAACCCUCCAUGGUGGAAGGAAUAGGAGUGGGAAGGGGAGGAGGAGACAUAUGGUCCAGGAGGUUCCAUAUGUACCCACACAUGGACCUCAAAGAGGCCCCCACAGCAAGACAGCAAAUGACAUCCACAGUCACAGAUCACGGAGUGAUUUCAGAUGAAGAUGGUGCUGGCAGUUUCCCCAUCAGCGCAAUGGAGUUUGAGCAAAGGAUCUCACUGGAGAAGUCGCAGCGACAGUGGAUCUAAGAGCAGAGGGCAAGGGCUGCCUGAGCCUUGUGAAGCUCAAUUCUGCCCCCUGGUGCCCAGAAUGCCGCGCCAGCAAUGGGAUGCAGGAAGAAGAGGCAGGAGACACCUGAGGUCUCUUACCUUUUCCAAGCUACUCAGACCUCCCUCUUACAGGGCAGGGAACACAGGGCACCAGCCCUACUAACCCAAUCUGAGGGGAAACUCUGAGGCUCCCUCUCCUGCAGAGAUCUCAGACUCUGUGGUAGAGUUGGUGUGGGGGGACACGUGACGUCAG